rnacentral:pre_miRNA from 1 species
UGACUCAGUCGGUGUCAAAUUGACUCUAGUAGGGAGUCCAGCUUUUAUUAAAAUGGCGACUCCCUAACGGAGUCAGAUUGACUCCUUCUGGGAAAACCAGCUG